GGCCUGUUGGUGAAGCGGUCGAACACACAUGCCUUUCACGCAUGCAUACAUGGGUUCAAGUCCCAUACAGGUCACCA
rnacentral:tRNA from 1 species